GCUCCGGUUGCCUAGUGGUUAGAGCAUCUGCCUUAGAUGCAGGAAGUUGUGGGUUCAAUUCCUGGUCGAGUCA